UCAUAACGCAUCUAGGGUUCCGGCCGCUGCCGCGGCGCUGGUCCGAGAGAUGCACUCCCGCCCCGCAAGGGGCGGAGCCACGGCGGGAUAAAAGCCCGGGAGAU
rnacentral:sRNA from 1 species